rnacentral:rRNA from 1 species
CGGAUUGGUAAAUUCUCUGUGAAAUCUCUCAGCUUAACUGAGAGGAGUGCAGGGAACACUGCCUUUCUUGAGACCGGGAGGGGUCAAAGGUAUUCUGAAGGGAGCGGUAAAAUGUGAUAAUCUUCGGAGGACCACCAAUGGCGAAAGCAUUUGACCAGAACGGAUCUGACGGUGAGGGAUGAAGGCCAGGGGAGCAAAACGGAUUAGAUACCCGAGUAGUCCUGGCUGUAAACUCUGCGUGCAAGGUGUUGCGUAUUCUCGUGGAUGCGCAGUAUCGAAGAGAAGUCGUUAAGCACGCCGCCUGGGAA